rnacentral:rRNA from 1 species
UACGGAGGGUGCAAGCGUUGCUCGGAAUUAUUGGGCGUAAAGGGCAGGUAGGUGGUCUCGUUUGUCUGGGGUGAAAGCCUUGAGCUUAACUCAAGAAGUGCCCCAGAAACGGCGAGACUAGAGUAUUGGAGAGGGUCGUGGAAUUCCCGGUGUAGCGGUGAAAUGCGUAGAGAUCGGGAGGAACACCAGCGGCGAAGGCGGCGACCUGGACAAUUACUGACACUCAACUGCGAAAGCGUGGGGAG